UUGAAGGCCAAGAGACCAUUUGGGGUUGCGAGAUCGUGGGUUAGAGUCCCACCUCGUGCCCAGUUGCGAGAUCGUGGGUUCGAGUCCCACCUCGCGUUUUGUUGCGAGAUCGUGGGUUUGAGUCCCACCUCGCACCUUGUUGCGAGACCGUGGGUUCGAGUCCCACCUCGCGUCUGGUCACGGGAUCGUGGGUUCGAGUCCCACCUCGUGCAGAGGGUCUCAAUCGGCCGGCCUUGGAGAGGCCAUCUGAUUCUUCUGGUUUCUUUUUUGUCUUAGUCUCGUGUCCGCUCUUGUUGUGACUACUGUUUUUCUAAAAAUGGGACAAUCUGUGUUCACUCCCCUUUCUCUGACUCUGGAGCAUUGGAAGGAGGUGCGGGUCAGAGCCCACAACCAGUCGGUGGAGGUCAGAAAGGGUCAGUGGCAGACCUUUUGCGCCUCCGAGUGGCCAACGUUUGGAGUAGGCUGGCCACCUAAGGGUGCUUUUGACUUGUCACUAAUCGCCGCCGUCAGGCAAAUUGUUUUUCAGGAGGAAGGGAGUCGAUGUGGAAUCCGACCCCGUCAGGAAAUAGCGUUUGGCUUGGCUGGUUGUACAAGUCCAGGCGUGGACGAGUGUGCUUAGAGAUACUGGUGUCUUCUUUUUCUCUGUUGCUAUCUUGUUUUUGUUUGUGGUUUUUGUCAUGAGACACAGACACUGUACGUCAGAGGUAAAGUGAGAUCCCUCCCUGUCUGUAUGUCUGUGUGUCUGUGUGUCUUGUUCACUUGUGUGUCCUCCAUUGGACCACCUUCUGAUUCUGUUUUGUUUUUGAUUUGUCUGGUUUCAGGUCUGGUUUUGGUCCCAAGAAGUUGACUGAUUAUCUUGGUUUGGUUUUAGGCCGGUCUCAGGUUCUGGGGCCUUCCCAUGGAGACAGGUCCAUUUGAGUUGGUCAUAGUGACAGUAAGCUUCUCUGGAAAUCGCAUGUAAGAUGCCCUGUAUUAGUCUUGUUUGUGUUUGUCAUUUCUGUGGUACUGUGAUUCUAUAGUGGUUGCCUGAAAAACGGUUUCUGUGUGUGUCUUUUGUGUCUCUUUGUGUUCGGACUUGGACUGAUGACUGACGACUGUUUUUAAGUUAUGCCUUCUGAAAUAAGCCUAAAAAUCCUGUCAGAUCCCUAUGCUGACCACUUCCUUUCAGAUCAACAGCUGCCCUGCCUCCCACUCCAACUCCAGAGAGCAGCCAGCGGGUCACAGUGGUCCCGUCCAUGGACCUGGAGCCUAGGGGGAAAAUGAGUUCAAAAAUCCGGAGCAAAUGAGGAGUGGUCCCUGAGAAGUCAGUGGCCUAAAUGUUGUGGCUGCUG
rnacentral:lncRNA from 1 species